rnacentral:rRNA from 1 species
GGGCGACGGUUGUCCCGGUUUAAGCGUGUAGGCUGAUUUUCCAGGCAAAUCCGGAAAAUCAAGGCUGAGGCGUGAUGACGAGGCACUACGGUGCUGAAGCAACAAAUGCCCUGCUUCCAGGAAAAGCCUCUAAGCAUCAGGUAACAUCAAAUCGUACCCCAAACCGACACAGGUGGUCAGGUAGAGAAUACCAAGGCGCUUGAGAGAACUCGGGUGAAGGAACUAGGCAAAAUGGUGCCGUAACUUCGGGAGAAGGCACGCUGAUAUGUAGGUGAAGCGACUUGCUCGUGGAGCUGAAAUCAGUCGAAGAUACCAGCUGGCUGCAACUGUUUAUUAAAAACACAGCACUGUGCAAACACGAAAGUGGACGUAUACGGUGUGACGCCUGCCCGGUGCCGGAAGGUUAAUUGAUGGGGUUAGCGGUAACGCGAAGCUCUUGAUCGAAGCCCCGGUAAACGGCGGCCGUAACUAUAACGGUCCUAAGGUAGCGAAAUUCCUUGUCGGGUAAGUUCCGACCUGCACGAAUGGCGUAAUGAUGGCCAGGCUGUCUCCACCCGAGACUCAGUGAAAUUGAACUCGCUGUGAAGAUGCAGUGUACCCGCGGCAAGACGGAAAGACCCCGUGAACCUUUACUAUAGCUUGACACUGAACAUUGAGCCUUGAUGUGUAGGAUAGGUGGGAGGCUUUGAAGUGUGGACGCCAGUCUGCAUGGAGCCGACCUUGAAAUACCACCCUUUAAUGUUUGAUGUUCUAACGUUGGCCCGUUAUCCGGGUUGCGGACAGUGUCUGGUGGGUAGUUUGACUGGGGCGGUCUCCUCCUAAAGAGUAACGGAGGAGCACGAAGGUUGGCUAAUCCUGGUCGGACAUCAGGAGGUUAGUGCAAUGGCAUAAGCCAGCUUGACUGCGAGCGUGACGGCGCGAGCAGGUGCGAAAGCAGGUCAUAGUGAUCCGGUGGUUCUGAAUGGAAGGGCCAUCGCUCAACGGAUAAAAGGUACUCCGGGGAUAACAGGCUGAUACCGCCCAAGAGUUCAUAUCGACGGCGGUGUUUGGCACCUCGAUGUCGGCUCAUCACAUCCUGGGGCUGAAGUAGGUCCCAAGGGUAUGGCUGUUCGCCAUUUAAAGUGGUACGCGAGCUGGGUUUAGAACGUCGUGAGACAGUUCGGUCCCUAUCUGCCGUGGGCGCUGGAGAACUGAGGGGGGCUGCUCCUAGUACGAGAGGACCGGAGUGGACGCAUCACUGGUGUUCGGGUUGUCAUGCCAAUGGCACUGCCCGGUAGCUAAAUGCGGAAGAGAUAAGUGCUGAAAGCAUCUAAGCACGAAACUUGCCCCGAGAUGAGUUCUCCCUGACUCCUUGAGAGUCCUGAAGGAACGUUGAAGACGACGACGUUGAUAGGCCGGGUGUGUAAGCGCAGCGAUGCGUUGAGCUAACCGGUACUAAUGAACCGUGAGG